UUGAUUGUGCACGGCUACGUUAUCAAAGAGAGCAGCAUCACGGAGAUUUGCAUGUAGUCCUAAAUUCGCACGCUGUGGCGAAGGUUUGACCCCAGCCUCUGCUAAUGUAGCUGACAUGUCAUCCGAAACUGUCGUCGAGAGAAGCGGUAAAGAGCAACAGCUCCAUGCGCUGAGAACGGACAGCGGAUUAUUCAACAGAGAGUGCACUUGGGAUUCCGAGGGCAACUAGACUGACCCCCCUCUCACUCUCCCUCCCUCCUUCACUCCAAUCUCUCUCUAGCGCAGAGUUUUCCGUCCUGUGUCAGGAUAACAUCGCUAACAAAAAGCAUUUCUGGCGGUAAGAAACGGCACAAAUGGAAGCAGUUGAGAAAACUCUCACUUACUGAGACAACACCGGACCUUAUAGAAAGCUGCUCCCUGGAAAUGAAUACAAGGACAAGUGCAACCCUAAAACAAAAAGUGACGAAUCCAAUUAUGUUGAUUUGGAUGACUUAAYUGAUAUGAAAUCAGAGGUCACAAAAACUGUAAAAGUGGCUUUUACCGGUGACGGUAACCAAUUGGCGGUAUUCAAAUGCAACAGUGAUACGUCCGGAGAGAGGAGCCCCGGGAUUCACGAGAUUGAUGACAAUGUGGAUCAUAUCUAUGAGGAAAAAUCCAAGGACAAGUCAGCAGAUAGGCCUGUAUCGGAAGAUCCCCCCAUGGACACGUCUUUGACAGAAUUUAACAGCAAUGUGGACUUGGAGAAUGACAAUAUGACAGAACUCCAGAGUGAAAUUGUGCCUCGUGAUUAUAAUGUCCCCAGCGAGUGUGAGGAGUUACAAUACACGGACAUGUAUUUGAACAGUAAAACCGAAUCGGACGACUGUGAGAGCGUAGUAUUGUCGGACCAUUGUGCGCCUGAUACCGUAAUAGACGAAUCGCACUACAUUACAACGCACGAAAUCCAACUGACAGAGCUUGACCAUGAUGUCGAUUAUGAUUUUGGACGGGGAAGCUGUUGGGAUAUUGAGGACGAUAAUCUGGUUUAUUCAUUUGUGGAUUAUGCCUCUUUUGAAAGCGAUGAAACAACAGAGGGGACUUUGAUAGGCCUAGUGGAUGGUAGGAGCCAGGCGAAAGUGAAAAGCAGUAAGGCGCAAUAUAAUAAUGUGCACCAAAGUGUUGCUGGUUGUGCAGUUGUCAGCACUGAGAGUGAGUUUUGUGACUCUGACAAAUGCCCCAGCUCAGAUGAAAGCAUUUGUAAAAACCAAAACGGUAGUGGGAAUUCGGCGGGGCAAAUUCACCUGUCAAUCAAGACCUCAUCCAGAGCGAUAAACGACUAUAACAAUAUCAUUGACAAUGAAAACAUUUGUUAUCAUACCAAGCAUGUGGGAGACAGGAGUCACUUCUUUUUUACAAGCACUGACGCCAGAGCGGAAGCCUUGUGCGAUAGAUCCCAAUAUUUUAUCCCAGCCCCGGGACGCCAACACUUUGCAACUAAAUUAAGAGGGAAAGAUGUUAACGAAUAUUCCAGCGGUGCGUCAAGUUCGAUAAGUGAACUGGACGACGCUGAUAAAGAAGUGCGUAAUUUAACCGCCAAAUCAUUUAGGAGUUUAGCAUGUCCCUAUUUCGAUGCUAUACAUUUGAGCACUUCAAGUGAGUCUUCAAUGUCAGAAUAUGGGCUUGGUUUAAACAAGUGGUCAGCUUUCGUUGACCUUAAAUAUGGUAACAUGUCACAGGGCAAAGAGCAAAAUCUAAUCGCCCAUAAGAGUGCAACUGCAACUUUUGAAAUGAGCAAGAACGCAGAAUAUAAGAGUAUAAAUGCUAUUGCCAUAAGCAGUAAGAAAGGUCCCCAAACCAAUAUGUUUUCUUUGAAUACAAAAAGAUCUAGUCCACAACAUGCAUCUUCCUCUACCCAAAACGUAGAGCUUACAGGCCCAUUUGAACCAGGCUGUGAGGUUAUCACUUUGACAAAGACAUUGGAUUUUCGCUGUAAUGUUGAAGCGGUGUCACCUGAACGCGGGAAGCCUCCCAAAUAUUCAGAAAAUGCGUCAGGAGCACGUUCCAUGGAUGAAGUUCCCGGCACCUUGCCAGCAGAGCCAGGAUAUGAAGUGAGCUACCAACACAGUGACGCGGGUGAUAGCAUGGAAGGCCCACAUAAGAAGGCAAGUUUCGCAUCAAGUCUCUUAAAAAAUGUAAUAUCCAAAAAAAUGCAAUUUGAACAGGAGCGCAAGAUGGAGAGGGGGGAGAUACGGGACACGCAUCCCACGCACUCCCCAUGCUUUCAAUGCAAGGAUCAAGAUGGGGUAAGAGAGAGGGAUACAGAGAAAGGCGUGCAUAGUCAAACCUCAGAAUCGGGUUCGGGAUACACAAGCAAUUCUUCUGAUGAACAAGGGGCUGUGGACCUUAGACAUAAUUCUUGUGACCCCAAAGAAGAGCUUACUGAGGCAUUAGAAAGCUUUCAGACUAUAAAUGAGGCACGAUUAGAUUUUCAAAAGGAUGCAUGCGAGCCCACAAGAGGAUCCCUGAGCCAUAGCCAAAACAGCGCAUUCAAAUCAUGGAGGGAUGGUGAGCCAGAGCCCCAAGAGAAACAUGAAAUUCGUACCAUUUUAGAUGGGACACCCUCGACAACAGAUAAUACGGGGGAAAGGGAGUUAGACUCCAGAGCUGUAAGUAGCAAGCUAACUAAAUUGUCACACUUGUUUGUUCCAAGUUCCCAGCUUCUCCCUAAAGAAAAUAAAUUGAAAGAACAGGUGUCAGACAGUACUUUAGUCGGUGCGCAAAAAGAGCAACGGGGGUACGGGGAGAGAAAGUUUAGACCUGACAACAAUGCAGGAAUCGUGAAAGGGUCAAAGGCACCCGAGAUAAAAAUACGUCUGAGGAGCGUAAAAGAAAACAAAUGCAAUCCGCUAAAUAUUGACAACUUGUUAAUCCCUAAUAUAAGUUAUCCAAUAAAGUCAGCAGGUGACUCCAAAUGUCAGGUUCUGCCAGCGUCAGACAGAGUGCCACACUUUACGGUUAGGGAUAUAAGAGACAAUAAGUGCAAGUUUCAGACGCCAAUUCAUCAGGUUAGAGACGUGCGUAAAUUGGUCAAGAGUUCAUAUCGUUUAGUCUCAGUGGAUAACAGCGAGAGUAAAGGCGCAGUCGCCACUGCUGCUGCCUCAUUACGCGAAGAUAAUAAAGCUUCUAAGAAAGAACCCGAUAAGAAAUUGCCUCCCUCUUCAAUUGUAAUAAAAUGUCAGUCUGUAAAUACAAAUAGCAGUACUAAACAGCGUGUGCUUGUAACCGAGGCUCCAAAGCGGAGACAAAUUGAGAACGAUAGGUCAUCCCCCAAACCAUCUCCAGAAUGUGCCAAAAAUGAAUCCAUGUCGCUGCACAGGGCGACGGGCAGACCUCCAAUUGGCUUCGCUAAACAGCCCAACACAGAUCAGUCCGAGGCUAAACAAAAGCAGGAAAAAAAGGUCGAGGCAGGUGAACGCAAACCGGAGUCGAAAAUACCAAAACAGGUGGCAUUAGAGAAACUAAAGGCGGCCGUUAAAACAAUGGAACAGCUUUAUGUUUUUGACAGAAAUGAAUGGAAGCGCAAGAGCCAGGCUCCCUGGCCUAUUACAGACAGUCAUGUUCUGUCACUUAUUGCUAGAGAGGAGCAUGGUGGCCCCGAGGAGCUAGGUGCAGCAGGUGGCAGAGAGAGGCUUAGUACAGCGAUAAACACAGACAGGUUGCCAGAAACAUGCAACAUUCAAGAAGAGAAAGGUUGUCUAAGAAUAAUCCAUGUCCCAUUCACAGAGGACACCUUUAAAACCCAGUCACAACAAAGUAAAACGUUUAGUAACAAAAGCGUGUUCCAUUUGGGGAACAGCAUUAAGACAGCUGUCAGUAGCAGCAGCUCUAAUUGUUGCAAUGGGCCACAAACCUGUUCUCCAUCACAUGCAACCUCUAUGGGGAAAAGCAUUAGCUCUAAGACCCCGAAAGCUCCACUGUCAUUGAAAAUAUCCCCCCCAAAACGAGCCCUUGUGGACAGGGGAAGGUUCAAAAGCAGCCCCACCACAGAGACUCCACCACAGCCCAUCAAAUCUGGCAACCCAGAUUCUGAAAACUACUUAACAAUACCUGUAGAAGGCGGGAGUGUCAGUCAAAUGAAACUGCCCAUUCAAGAGCAGGUAUACCCAAACAGCCCUGCCGCCAGUCAACCUGGCAUCACCGACACCAAGAGACACAAGCAUAAUUCUAUCCAGUCCCUCAAACGGUCCCCUGUUGUCAUAGAGACGCGGCCCCCGGAUACCCCCAUUACCGCCACCAUCUACCACCACUCUCUACCAGUGGUCAAGCAAGGAACCCCCCAGCCGCAGGUGUUCUGCUUCUCCCCCUCCAUAUCCCCCUUGCCCACCACCCCUUCGGGGGGAGACCCCUUCCAGCGUACCCAGAGGAAGAUGCUCUUUGAUCCCACCACCGGACAAUACUACCUGGUAGACACGCCGAUUGAGCCAGUCACCCAGUGUCUCUUCGACCCUGAGAUGGGCCAGUAUGUGGAUAUGCCCAUGCCUAUGCCGCAGCGGCAGCUAGUGACCACCAUGUCCGUAUCCCCCCUGGCACUGAACCCGGGAGGGGUGUACGCACCCACCUACAUGAUCUACCCGGGGUUCCUCUCACCCACACUUGCUGCCCAGACGGUGAUGGCACCCCAGGUUGCAACCCACAUGGCAUCCCAAUUAGAGGACGAGAGCGGGGAGACGGCUCAAGGGAAAUACACCCUGGUGCAGGAGGGUAACAUGAUGGGGGCAGAGAGCCCCUACUACAGUGCUACGGGAGAGUCAGUGCCGGCGUCAGUGCCCGUCACCUUGGGCCACCACGUCACCACCCAGGGGAGUGCGGUGACGUCAGAAGGGAAACCAGCGGUCAUCAGCAUCACUUCGCAGCAACGCCCGAGAAUCAUCGCACCGCCCUCCUUUGAUGGGACGACCAUGAGCUUCGUGGUGGAGCAUCGGUAACCAUAAAGGGAAUAUACACAGAGUGCUUCUUGAGGAGCCUGUCCAGUGAUAAGUAGAUAUUUUAUGGCUGACCUCCAUGCCUCCUGAGAUGUCGAUGGCCAAGCCACCCUGGAACUCGGCAUUGGCCUUCAGCCCAGACUGAAGCUGGA